rnacentral:misc_RNA from 1 species
UGCAAGGCUUUUCUGCACACUUCAGUCUGUCCGUGUGUCUUCUCUGCUUCCACUCGACCCACACGAGUCAGCACGCGGUUUGUUUUUCAUUGAGAGGAGGACUGAGGGCGUUGCGCAAGAGAAAAGGAAAAAGGGAGCCGCCAGGAAAGAGGGUGACAGAGGAGCAUUUUGAGAGUGGUGAUCGAGAACGAUAGUGUGGGGGACGCGCCUCGACGAGGUGCAUCCACGGCGCUCGUCGGUUCCUUGCGCACAGGCGUACCCCGUCGGCGCGCACACGAGACGACAACUCUGUUGUGGCGGAAAAGUCAUCUGCACAUUCGCUUUUCCCUUCGCACAACGUCUUCCUUUGUAUACUCUCUCUGCUGCGUCGCUCUUUUCUCCUCUUUCGCGCUGUGUGGCUUUCUCUCUCUGUGAGUGAGUGCUGCGCGUGUGUGCGACGGUGGUGCCUUGGCGCACAUUCGACCGAGCUCGCCCCCAGCUCCUCCUUUCAUACCAAACCGCACAGUGUCGGUGUGGGAGGCAGGGCCAUACGCAGAGGUGCACACUUAUUCCUCGCCGCCCGCCCACUCCUACACACUUCCGAUUCACAGCCGUUUUUUUGUCGUUUUCCCCCGCCACGUUCAUUUUUCAGCCGCUGCAGAACACUGUGAUCCCGUCUAUUGUGUGCGUAUUCUACUCCCCCCCUCUCCCUGUCUGUCUGUAUAUGCUUGUCUGUGGGUCUGCCCGCGCGUGUCUGUGUGCGUGUGUGUGUCUCAUUGCUGGCUGCUGCUGACGAUUGCUGGCGCUGCAGUUUUUUCCCGCCCACCUAAUCAGUGCACACACAUAUAUAUAUAUUUCAUUUUGUUUUCUACAGACCAGGAAGGCGCUACCCUUUGUGUGCUCUCUCGCUCUCUAGCGCACCACCGAUACAUACCGAUUCGUUCAGAAGUACACCCGCAGCCACACCCCGUGCGCUUGCGCGAACCCCCGAAACAGAGGCAGUGGGCGCAGAGGAAAGUGGAGAGGAUAUGUCCUUGCGGAGUCUUGUGACUAGCGGGCAGGAGCCGCUGCCGCCGCGCCGCCCGCCCGCGUAUGCCUACCAUACAGAGCCCCAAAUGCGCAUGCUUGCCUCGGACAUGUCGGCGCGGGCGUCCGUCUCUUUAAUGUGGAAACUGUGGCUGGAGGGUCAGUACAACGAGCUAGGGAAGAGGCUUGGCAGCACUGGUGAGAUUCUGGAGAGAAAGGAUGAGGUGCGCUUCGCGUGCGAGUUUCUAGCGAGUGGCGGGCUGGACAUCUACUGCCUCAUCUUGUGCGAUCCGUUCAACCCCUUGCGUUUCUCGCCAGAGCGCACGGUGCGCAGCAUGAGCGCCCUCGAGCGGGGACGACGGCAGCGCACCCUUGAGCACAUCAUCGGCAUUUACGCUGAGGUCAUGCUUCAGCUGACCGACCUGGUGGCAGAUCAGAACGACCUCGGUUGGGUGAUCUACGACCGCUACCCGGGUGUUUUCUACCGACUCAUUGAGUUUCUCGAGGACAGUUCCCUGUGGGCCGCCGCCACGGGCCUGCUGGAGCACAUUCUAGCUUGCGUUGGCCCAGUACUGGAGAUCAGCAAGAACCCAUCUCUCAUCCGGGUUUUGCGGCGCGCCUCGCCGACGGCGCUGGCUGCCUUCUGCCGCUUUCUCGCGCUGCUCAUCUUGCCUGGCCUUGCGCAAGGCCAGAACCCGAUCUUGGCGCGUCGGCUGCACUACCCAGAAACGGUGGCGGUGCUGCGGCAGGUGCAGCGGGUGGUGGACAGCAACGUGCUGUGGCUGAUCGGCGAGGAGGGUCUCGUGUCGACGCUCAUUAGUCUGUGCGAGCUGCGACCGAACGGGCUGCGGGUGCAACAGGGCGGACGGUCCAUGAUGAUGUUUCCUCCGGAGACCACCUUGAUUGGUGGGGCCGGGCAGAGAGCAGUCAACGCGACGCGCGCUGGCGGCCGCGCCAGCGUCGUGCCCCUCGGCAGCGAAGACGUCGACUGGGAGGACGAGGAGGAGGAGGAUGACCAGUGGACAGACAAUGAAGAGCAAGAGGGAAGCGGCGCGUCUGGCGGAAGCGAUGGUACGGCGGACUUCAUCUUCGACGGCUCCUCCCUACCCACGCUCUUCGCCGGAAUCGAGCGCUUUCUUGGCAUCGGGCAGUCCCAGGGCCAAGCGGCUCGCACACCGGCGCCGUCCACCAGCCCCACACCGCUACCACCACAACAGGCGCAGCAACCCUCUCCGCCACCUGGAUCGACCGACCCUUCCGGUGCCCCUCCACCGCGCGCCGACGAGUCAGCGGCGUUUUCAGAAUACCUCGAGUACAUCCGCACCGCCGUACGCAGUGGCACGGUAAGUGCGGCGCUCGGCGUGAACCGCGCCACCUCCGGCGUGGCACCGUCGCUGCCGCCGCCACCGCCGCUGUCUACUCCAGAGCAGGGCGGCAUUCGAGUGGAGGUGGGCAGCGGCAGAGGCAACGUGGCGGCGCAGAUGGUGGCCGAGCUGGAGCGCGCUGGAUUGCCACGCGACGGCGCCGAGCAGAUCGCGUUUCUGAACCGCAUAACAUCCAACCAGUUCCAAGCUGAGGACCCAUCGCGGCUGGUGCAGUGGAUGCUGGACCGUGACAUGCUGGAGGACGACGACAUGGAGCAGAACUUCAAAUCCUCGAUGGACAUCCACUGGUGGGUGGGGUCGGCCGACACGCGGCAGCGCUGGCGGCUGCGGGACCCGUCCUUAAUCCCGGAGAGGGACGACAACCGCUACGCACUUGUCUGCUCGACUGUGCGUCGCACCAUUGCACCCGGGCCGAGACCGCCAACGCUAGAGGAGUUCAACUCGGCUAAUGAGCGGCUCUCGGCGGAGCUGUUCGAGCCGCUACCUCGCGUGGACGCACUCGACUUGCUGGACCCCGUCGACACGCAGCGCAUCGUUGAGUCGCAGAGCGAAGUGCUAUACCUGCUGAACAUGUUCCUCUCCACCUUCUACUUCAGCGACUCGUGGAAGGCGCUGCGGGACUGCCGUUGGGUGCCUCGGUCUGUGCCGAUGCUGGAGGCCGCCUUCGGACUGGACCCAUCGCUGCCUGCGUUCGUCGACGUGCCGCCACACGUAAACUUGUCCGACAAGUUGCGGGCGUUGCCGCGCUACUUGCCACCGCGUGCCUCUGAUGACCAAGAGGAGUCCGACACGCUCGCUGAUGGCUCGCCGCGCUACCCCUCAACGUGGCGUCUUGUUCCGUUUCUCCAGCUCCUCGGCGACCUCGCAGUUGUGUACCUGCGUGACCCCAAUCAGAUGUCCGAAGAGGAGACGGAAAAUCAUCAGCACGGACCCGAUACGAUGCGCAAGAUGGAGCUGCUGCGCGGCCUUUACGAGUACUGGAACGCUCAAGACCGUCGGGAACAGGAGAUGGUGGUCGAGGAUGCCGAGGUCGUUGCCAGCGCGUGGAGAAACGCGGAGGCCAUCGCCCGCGUCCUGCACAGAGAUCAAGAAGACAGCUGUGUCCGCGUAAGCUUGUACCAGACGCUCGAUUCGUAUUUGCGCACCUUUCUGUUUCGUGAAGCAUACCGCGAUGCCCCGGACUGCCCGCAGACAAGACUCGGGCAGGCACUCCUUACUAGCGUUCUGGAGCGCAUCUACAACGGCACGCGUAUUCCCGGGCUGAGCGGGUCGAUGGCGCCGGGGCGGCUGCUGUCGAACAUGCUUCAGGUUCUCGGGGAGCUGCUGCGCUACCACGCCGGCAACCUGCGCACCUUAUGUGCCUAUGUGGUCGGAGAUCGGGACAUGUCGCACCUGAACGAGGCGAUGAGCAACCCGAACCGGCAGAACCCCGUCAUUCUCUCCGCAGAGCAUGAGGAGGUCGAGGAGAUCUUGAAGCGCCCGCCUCUGGAACGGGAGGAGCACGAGCCGUUUGGCAGUGUGCUGCUGCGACGCCUCUUCACCUUCGGCGUCGACACGCAUCACCUGCUGCGCUCGCUGUUGCUUUCUCUCACUCCGGGGCUACGUUCCACCGGCAACUACAUCUCGAAGCCGGUGAAUGACUCGGUAGACGAUGUGCGGCUGCCACCGACACUCCCCGGCAUCGGUCGCACAAGCGACAUCAUCUCCGGCGAUGCCGUCCGUAUUUCGUACGUGAUUCGGGUUUCGCGGCAGUACACGCGCGAGAUCAGCCUGGCGCCAGCCCAUGGGCUACGACGGGAGGAGCUCUUGAGGGAGCUGGUUUGCGUGCUAGCGCGUACGCCGCACCGGCAGGCCCCUGAGAACCGCCCGUUUCCGGGCCUGAUGUGUGGCGAAAACGAUCUGGCAUUGCUGCGCAGCCAAUGGCCGCUGCCGGUGGUGGGGCCACCGCCUCGCCUGCGCGCGACGCUCUUUAGUCGUCGUGGCGAGGGCAGCGCGAAGGCGCCGCCGUCGGCAACGCCCUGCGCGGAAUCAUUUCUUUCACCGACGCAGGGCAUCCUCAACACUGCGCAAGCGCAGACCGCUUCGUCAACAGAUCUUCAUGACGCAGCAGAGACGGCUGAGGACGCGGCGCGACUGGAGGAGCUGGCUCCACUCUCUCGUCUCCUGCUCGGCGAGCCGCACAAGCUUAUCUUCAGCGCCCUCUGCGGGCUGAACAUCGAGUCCAUGGAGGACAACAGCCGCCUCUCCGUCGUGACAACAGUGCUGCUCGUGUUUUUGCGCGUUGCGUCAGUGGGGAGCUCAAGAGAGAGCGCUGCUGCUGCUGAGGCCAAUAUUCGCGACGUUUUGGCGAAAAUGAAGUCUUUUGCAGGGCACGGACACAGCGUGUGGCUAGGGGAGGAGCGUGCAGCUCGGGCGAAGGAGCGCGAGGCGAGGAGGCGUCAGGCGCUGAUGUCCGUGUCAGGGGACCAGGGGAUUUGCGCGUGUGACUGGCACGACGCUCCAAAGGCUGCGGAGGCGGAGUAUCAGCGUCGUAAGCCCGACGAGGCGGCGGCUGCCCUCACAGAUUCCUUUGAGAGGCCUACGGGAGAGGGCAGCGCUGCGACAAAGGGUGGACUUACGCCUGAUGAGCUUCCACGGCGCUGCCCCUCCUUCAUGGCCUACGGCUCCUGCGAUCCUCCGCACGAGGGGAGCGUGUAUCAGCGCGAGUUUGGCGGCUGCUUUUAUCGCAGCUUUUUCCGCUUGUUGUGCCUGUGGGUCGGCUACUACGCGUCUUGUCAGCGGUACGUGGAGACGGUGUACUUCAGUACGGAAGUCGCGUUCGGCGAGUACAAGACGAUGGCGCUGUUCCUGAUGCGCAUCCUGCCAGACUUUUUCAUGCCCCACUUCUCGCAGUGCUGACGGGAGAGCUGAUGGAUAAGGAAUAACGGCGAACGGUAUGGGUAAAGAAGGCCUUGGGGCGGUGGUGGACGAGAGACACAAGAGACGAAGGCCUGAUGUGGUGCUUACUUGCCGCUGCCGUUCUGUGCCACAAGGCAUACGUUGCCAGAAAGCGACGCCUUUGCGUGCUUCUCGUAGCCCCCUCCCCCCUCCAUCCGCCUUCUUCCAUUCUCUGUGCCUACAGUGACGUUAUCCGUUUCGCCCACCAAAGAAGAGUACCGGUGUUGUGUGUCGCACGCACCGACAGAGAGGGAGACGGACACAGAUUGCAUGGCGCGCUGCGAUGCGAAUAAGCAAAGACGUUUUUUCUCGAGACUCUGCUGCAAUGAUGAUGGAACCCCACAGAUAUAAGGGGCGGUAAAAAAACCCUCCCCCACUUCUUUCCAUGUCUGCGUGUUUGAGUGCUUGUGGCACGUGUGUAUGUGUUGUGCGGGGGAAGCGUUUGCGAUGCUUCCUUCCUCCUCAUCCUCUUCAUGUAUCCCCCGCCGUUCCCCCUCCCCCGCUUCGUAGCCUGUGCAAGUCUACGCCUUCACGGACGUGAGAAAGAGAGGUAGGACAAGAAGAGCGCCUGCCGCGGCGGGGCAGAGCUGCGUGCGAGGGGAGGGUGGAUGGCUGGAUGAGGAUGCACCUUGUUUCGAUGUGUGGGCAACAACACAUAAGCAUUCCCCUUCCUAUCUUAUCUUUACUACACAGCUUCAGAGCAGCAGCAGAGGAAAAGCAGAAGGCGGACGCAAGACAGAGCGAAGGAGGUGCGCGGCGAAAUGCCGCUGCGUGUGUCGCACUACUUCCUCUUGCUUUUGUCCACCCCCCUUUGCGGGCACCUCCAGCGGCAUGAACGAACGGUGGUUUCUUUGCGAUUGUGGAUGCCUGCGCGCCGGUAUAAUGACGCUCUCCAGCCUUAAAGCGCGUGCAGUAGUGUAUUCUGUUGCACACACCGACACACUCAUACACCCGCGCAAACAUUCAUGCACUUGUGAACACGGUCACAGGAGUGUCCUCUUUUCGGAACCUCUCGCUCGGCGCGCCUCCCAAAAGAGGGUGCCGUUUCUUUCGCCUCUAAAUGGUAACGACGAGACGGUGUUCGUUGACGCCAUUUCUCAGCCUCCCUCCUCCCCUGCAUCACCCGUGUUCGUCUCUCUCCGCCUCUUGCCUUUCCCAACCGCCCCACCGUACAUCGAUUAUGCGCAUGUGCGUGAUGUGUCUCGCUCUCUUUCCUGCCCUUUCACACUCCUUUCUUGUCAUGUAUUCUUUCUGGUUCUCCGUUCUCUCGCGCCUGCGCUCUCCCUCUUCCCAUCGUCUACUCUUCAUACCUGCCUUUACCCGUCCCCUGCCCCCUUGCGUCCAAG